UACGUAGGGUGCAAGCGUUGUCCGGAAUUAUUGGGCGUAAAGAGCUCGUAGGCGGUCUGUCACGUCGGCUGUGAAAACCCGGGGCUCAACCCCGGGCCUGCAGUCGAUACGGGCAGACCAGAGUGCGGUAGGGGAGACUGGAAUUCCUGGUGUAGCGGUGAAAUGCGCAGAUAUCAGGAGGAACACCGGUGGCGAAGGCGGGUCUCUGGGCCGUAACUGACGCUGAGGAGCGAAAGCGUGGGGAGCGAACAGG
rnacentral:rRNA from 1 species